rnacentral:rRNA from 1 species
GACGAACGCUGGCGGCGUGCUUAACACAUGCAAGUCGAACGGAAAGGCCCUGCUUGCAGGGUACUCGAGUGGCGAACGGGUGAGUAACACGUGGGUGAUCUGCCCUGCACUUCGGGAUAAGCCUGGGAAACUGGGUCUAAUACCGGAUAGGAGCCAUUUUUAGUGUGAUGGUUGGAAAGUUUUUUCGGUGUAGGAUGAGCUCGCGGCCUAUCAGCUUGUUGGUGGGGUAAUGGCCUACCAAGGCGGCGACGGGUAGCCGGCCUGAGAGGGUGGACGGCCACAUUGGGACUGAGAUACGGCCCAGACACCGACGGGAGGCAGCAGUGGGGAAUAGUGCACAAUGGGCGCAAGCCUGAUGCAGCGACGCCGCGGGGGGGAUGACGGCCUUCGGGUUGUAAACUCCUUUCGCUAGGGACGAAGCUUUUUGUGACGGUACCUAGAUAAGAAGCACCGGCUAACUACGUG